GGCGAACGGGUGAGUAACACGUGGGUGAUCUGCCCUGCACUUCGGGAUAAGCCUGGGAAACUGGGUCUAAUACCGGAUAGGACGAUGGUUUGGAUGCCAUUGUGGAAAGUUUUUCGGUGUGGGAUGAGCUCGCGGCCUAUCAGCUUGUUGGUGGGGUAAUGGCCUACCAAGGCGUCGACGGGUAGCCGGCCUGAGAGGGUGUACGGCCACAUUGGGACUGAGAUACGGCCAG
rnacentral:rRNA from 1 species